CCCACCAUCAUUUAAACUACAUCAUCGUCUUUAAUUUGAUCGGGCGUGGUAUACCUUAUAAUACGUCACAAGCAAUGGCGCCGGCAAAUAGCGCCGGAUGUAUUGGAUUUUUCUAUGAAUUGGCUGUAUAACGGUAACGGUACCAAUUCAGUGUACCAUUUUUUCCAGAUAACCAUUUCUCAACCCAUCUAAGAGGAUAUCCUGUGUAUAUUAUCGCAGUAUUGGCACCUACCCCUGCACAGAUACCCCGAAUAGACCUGCCCGGACCAUUAUUAGAAGAGUGGACAGCAUUGUGCACCUGACCGGAAAAGUCCCUCGGAAAUGUUACAUUGCGAGGCAGAGAUCGUCGCAGGGUUCGAUUAAAGCUCUCGACCUUCUGAGAGUUGCAGUUUUUGAUCGUCUUGGCCAGGACAGCUGGAGACAAUCUUCUUGAGAUACAAGCAUGGAGCAAGUUCUCAUUCUCGGCCGAACAGGAAGCCCAUCCUGAUAGAGGGAAUGCGCCGCUCGGGUCAGUGGUUACCUCCUGUACCUCGAGGCCAGUCUCACUGAGGAGUUCUGCCAUUCCCUCCUUAGCCCAGGUGAACUCAUCCCCUAUGGUGUGAUGCAUUGGAAGGUUUGCCCCACAUACCCCAGGACUACAACAGUGGUCAACAGUGGCCAUGUUUGGAGCAAAUUUUAUUUUUUGUCACCACUUUAAUUAUUUGAUGUUUUGUGGUGACAUUCUCUGCAAAAGAAUACACAGUUUGUGUCGCCAGCUGGAAUGGUGUCUCACCCACCCUUGAGUACAGGGGGUUAUUGUACAUACCUUCGCUCUGAACAGAGAUGGUAUGUGGGGACUCAUUUCCCCUGAGGGUGUUGAUUUCCACCAGCUGGUGACACCUGUGACUCAUAUCCUCUUUAUUAAGGUUGACAAUUUUGGCCAGAACUUUGUUACUUGAUUUUUGUAGGGACUUACGUGAAGGGGGAGGGGUGUUGGUUGAAAGUAGAAUUUUCCUCAACCCAUCAUUUCCUAAAGGGGUUUGACUUAGGCCAACUUGUAAACCGUAGUUUACAGUGGCAGCCUUUCUCCCUGGGGAUUUGGUCUCUACCUCCUCAUACAAAUUGUACAGGCCAGACAGGAACGGACACUCAGAGCAUGUCAUCCUCAUCCGGGUGGCAAGGCCACGCCUCUCCUCAGUGUCUAGAUCCCAAGUCAGGAUACCCCGACAGUCUGGAAUACCUUGCUGGUUUAGGCGGAACACCUUGUUAAACAUGGCCGCUGUCUUGCCGAGAUGUAGCAGCCUGUGCGAGUCCUGGUUUACCCUAAGAAGAGUCAGAGAAGUAUUCAUUUCUCUCAUAAAAGGUUUGGAGUGCAAAUAGUGUACAGGCAGUUACUUCCCUUAGAUUUUGAGAAUUAUCAUACAACACUUACAACUGAUGUAUUUUUUAAUAUAGUUGUUUAAAUCUUCCAGAUUGGUAAUUAGUCAGAUGCAUGACUUAUUAACUGCUUGUAUCAUGCCUUAGUUUACAUAUAUCUGCAUGUAUUUACAUUUAGCAGUAGAUUUCAUGAGAAACACUCUCUGGGGGGGGGGGGGGGGCUAUAUUUUUCAUAUUCUCUGAUGUAACAUAUAACGAGGUGGUUCGUUUGCCAAAAAUGUCUUGAAAAUUUCAUCGAUGAUCAUUAAAUUAAUGAAACUUUUACUUACAUGUAUAGCAUUUGAGCAUUCCGGCACUCAUUUCCACCUUCAUUUUUCAGCUUCCUGAGCGUAACAAAUGGUGGCACCCUGGCCGCGGGAGCAUUUCCUGUUUUUCUGAAGCUGAAGGAGGGUCCUUCACUAACUGAUCCAUUUCAGGAGGCAGUCUUUCAUAUGGAGCAGUCAAAAAUCAGAUCCAAAUAUCAUCAGAAUUGUCAGAGUCUUUCAUUCCUGGUAAUGUCAAUGUCCAUAGAUGGUGCAGCUCAUUCACAUGGUGACAGAUCUCAUGACACAGAAAUUUCAGAACUCAAAUUUCCUACCUGUGCACAGGGUGGUGUCCACUAAGCUAAUGGUGGGGAUAGUAGCAGCUAUCCUGCACACAGACAUUGAAUGGAGCUGUCUGAUCCAUUAUCAGAAGAGUGGACAGCACUAUGCGUCCGAUCAGAGAAGUUUAUCAAGAAGCAUUACGAGGGACUUGUAUGAAUGGACAGAAGACAUUUUCUUAAUUCACCACUCCAUCAUUGCCUGGUGUUGAAGACUGAACACUUUAUUGAAAAUUGAUAGGAUGUAGCAAUCAAUGGGUGUCAUCAUUUGCCCUGAGAAGACUAAGAGAACUCCCUGGUCCUCAUGAGAUGGUGACACCCUGCAGUAGGAGCAGUUCUUACCGGGUAGCAGUUACUCGAGAUGUCUGACUGAUUGACGAGGAUAAUUGUCCUGCGCCUGACAUUCUGGUAGGACUUGGAUAGCUCUAUCACUGUAGAAAAUGUCAGGACGGUGGAGAUUUAGAUAAGUGGUGUGAUGUUAUUGAUGGUAAACAGAAGACUGUGACCUUGAAUCUGAAGAUCUGUGAUGAAGACCGGACGUUUGGGGUCACUCUCUGUUACAGUACUACAAAUCUAAGUACUCAGUAGUAAUAAUUGUGACACUCAGCCACAAAGAGGUUGUCUCUGAUGUCCACACAUAAACCCCAUGGAGUGACUAAAUGACAGUGAAUGUAACGGAGGAACUGUCCGUCCUGAUCUAGGAUGUGGAUACGGUCAUUGUAAGGGUCUGCUGUCAGGAUGUGACUCUGGCUGUCUGUAGUGAUGCCGACUGGAUAAAAUGAUUGCUCGGUAUUAGAGGGAUGACCAGUGUAUCUAAAUCGGAGUUUUCCUGACUGAUUGACCACCACUACUGCACUAGCUGACCGGUCAGCCACACAGAUAUCCAGGUUCUUCUUCUCACUGAGGUAUUUAUUACCACCAGAUGAGUAGAGAGGACGACCCUGAUCAUCAAACUGAAUGCUUUGUUUCUCUGUGGAGCCGGAGUAACGCACGACUUUGGAUUGUUUGUAAUCAUCACUGAUCAUGGUAACCAGGAGGUCGUUACCCGCGGUACAGCAGACAGAGAGAGGUCUCCACCCCUGUAGUGUGAUCACGAAUGAGUUGAGUGGGAAAAUGAGCCUCCAGAUGUAUAUGUACAUGUGUAUAUUAUAAUUAAACUUCUGUUGCACUCGCGCAUGCGAGGUUACUCUA